rnacentral:rRNA from 1 species
CCUACGGGAGGCAGCAGUGGGGAAUAUUGCACAAUGGGGGAAACCCUGAUGCAGCGACGCCGCGUGAGUGAAGAAGUACUUCGUUACGUAAAGCUCUAUCAACAGGGAAGAAACACUGACCUUACGGUCAGCAGACGGUACCUGAGUAAGAAGCCCCGGCUAACUACGUGCCAGCAGCCGCGGGAAUACGUAGGGGGCAAGCGUUAUCCGGAUUUACUGGGUGGAAAGGGAGCGUAGACGGUGCGCCAGGUCUGGAGUGAAAUGCCGCAGCUUAACUGCGGAACUGCUUUGGAAACUGGCGAACUAGAGUGCGGGAGGGGUAAGCGGAAUUCCUAGUGUAGCGGUGAAAUGCGUAGAUAUUAGGAGGAACACCGGUGGCGAAGGCGGCUUACUGGACCGUAACUGACGUUGAGGCUCGAAAGCGUGGGGAGCAAACAGGAUUAGAUACCCGUGUAGUC